rnacentral:lncRNA from 1 species
GUAAUGUGGUCCACAGCCAUGCCCUUGAGGAGCUGGCCACUGGAUACUGAACACCCUACUCCAUUCUGCUUAUGAAUCCCAUUUGCCUAUUGACCCUGCAGUUAGCAUGCUGUCACCCUGAAUCAUAAUCGCUCCUUUGCACCUCUAAAAAGAUGUCCCUUACCCUCAUUCUGGAGGGCUCCUGAGCCUCUGCGUAAGGCUGAACGUCUCACUGACUGAGCUAGUCUUCUUGUUGCUCGGGUGCAUUUGAGGAUGGAUUUGGGGAAGGAUCAAGUGAACCAUCCCUAGUCUUCCUUCAAUAAAUAACUUUUAACUCC